GUGCCAGCAGCCGCGGUAAGACGUAGGAGGCGAGCGUUGUCCGGAUUCAUUGGGCGUAAAGAGCGCGCAGGCGGCUUGGUAAGUCGGAUGUGAAAUCCCGAGGCUCAACCUCGGGUCUGCAUCCGAUACUGCCCGGCUAGAGGUAGGUAGGGGAGAUCGGAAUUCCUGGUGUAGCGGUGAAAUGCGCAGAUAUCAGGAGGAACACCGGUGGCGAAGGCGGAUCUCUGGGCCUUACCUGACGCUCAGGCGCGAAAGCUAGGGGAGCGAACUGGAUUAGAUACCCCGGUAGUCC
rnacentral:rRNA from 1 species